rnacentral:rRNA from 1 species
CCCUUAGAUGUCCUGGGCCGCACGCGCGCCACAAUGACUCACUCAGAAAGUUUUUCCUGAUCCGGAAGGAUUCGGGUAAUCUUCAUAGCAUGAGUCGUGUUAGGGAUCGAUCUUUGCAAUUAUAGAUCUUGAACGAGGAAUGCCUAGUAAGUGCAGCUCAUCAGGCUGUACUGAUUACGUCCCUGCCCUUUGUACACACCGCCCGUCGCUCCUACCGAUUGAGUGGUCCGGUGAACCUUCUGGAUUAAGCAGCAAUGCUUGAGAAGUUAGGUAAACCUUAUCACUUAGAGGAAGGAGAAGUCGUAACA